AUUGAACGCUGGCGGCAUGCCUUACACAUGCAAGUCGAACGGUAACGAGCCUUCGGGUGCCGACGAGUGGCGAACGGGUGAGUAAUACAUCGGAACGUGCCCGAUCGUGGGGGAUAACGAGGCGAAAGCUUUGCUAAUACCGCAUACGAUCUACGGAUGAAAGCAGGGGACCGCAAGGCCUUGCGCGGACGGAGCGGCCGAUGGCAGAUUAGGUAGUUGGUGGGAUAAAAGCUUACCAAGCCGACGAUCUGUAGCUGGUCUGAGAGGAUGAUCAGCCACACUGGGACUGAGACACGGCCCAGACUCCUACGGGAGGCAGCAGUGGGGAAUUUUGGACAAUGGGCGCAAGCCUGAUCCAGCCAUGCCGCGUGCAGGAUGAAGGCCUUCGGGUUGUAAACUGCUUUUGCACGGAACGAAAAGCCUUCUUUUAAUACAGGAGGGUCAUGACGGUACCGUAAGAAUAAGCACCGGCUAACUACGUG
rnacentral:rRNA from 1 species